AAGAACAGCUCAGAUAUAACAGCUCAGACUCCAUAUGGCCGUCAUGCCCAUGGUCAGUGGAUGCUAUUGUCUGUUUCUGCUAGAGGCCACUUCCUCAGCCGUCAUUUACUGACUCAACACAGACUCUGAGUGGGUUCAGCUGCUGGUCCUCUGCCUGUGUGUCUGUGCCGUGAUUAGGCCCAUGUGUGCGCCCUGCCUGGACCGUUGGCCUCCUGGACGUGACUCCAUUUCCCAGAGCGCUUCACCGUGAGGCAGAGGCCAUUCAUCAUGUCAGCGAGAAGGCCUUCACAUGGAGCGAAACAUCAGUGGUACUCCGGCGGACGAGGAGCCUAUGACUCAAACCCCACAUGGCGCUGGCCUGGCCAGACUUUCCCCAACUAAUGAGCCUAACAUGUGUUUCUACCUCCGACUGCUUCCAUUUUCUCUGUGGAGCCAAUAAAUCCUAGAAAUGUCUCAUUUAAGGCCAA